AGGGUGCGUAGGUGGUCUAAUAAGUCAGUGGUGAAAUCUCUUUGCUUAACAAGGAAAUUGCCAUUGAAACUGUUAGACUUGAGAAUGGACGAGGUAGGCGGAAUUCGUAGUGUAGCGGUGAAAUGCAUAGAUAUUACGAAGAACUCCAAUAGUGUAGACUGCUUACCAGACCAUAUCUGACACUAAGGCACGAAAGUGUGGGUAUCAAACAGGAUUAGAUACCCUGGUAGUCCACACAGUAAACGAUGAAUACUAACUGUUUGCGAUAUACAGCAAGUGGUCGAGCGAAAGCGUUAAGUAUUCCACCUGGGAAGUAUGCCGGCAACGGUGAAACUCAAAGGAAUUGACGGGGGCCCGCACAAGCGGAGGAACAUGUGGUUUAAUUCGAUAAUACGCGAGGAACCUUACCCGGGCUCGAACGAUAUUUGAAUACAUCCGAAAAGAUGUAGCUAGCAAUAGCAAAUACCGAGGUGCUGCAUGGUUGUCGUCAGCUCGUGCCGUGAGGUGUCGACUUAAGUGUCAUAACGAGCGCAACCCUUACCGAUAGUUACCAUCAGAUAAUGCUGGGGACUCUAUUGGGACUGCCACCGUAAGGUGUGAGGAAGGAGAGGAUGACGUCAAAUCAGCACGGCCCUUAUGUCCGGGGCGACACACGUGUUACAAUGGGAGAAACAAAGGGUCGCUACCUGGCAACAGGAUGCUAAUCUCGAAAAUCUCUCUCAGUUCGGAUUGGAGUCUGCAACUCGACUCCAUGAAGCUGGAUUCGCUAGUAAUCGCACAUCAGCCAUGGUGCGGUGAAUACGUUCCCGGGCCUUGUACACACCGCCCGUCAAGCCAUGGAAGCUGGAAGUACCUGAAGUAUGUAACUGAAAAGAGCGUCCU
rnacentral:rRNA from 1 species